CGAACCAGGGCUUGCCCUGGGGCAGAGCCGCGAACGGGUGAGUAACACGUGAGCAACCUGCCCUUGGCUUUGGGAUAACCCCGGGAAACCGGGGCUAAUACCGAAUAAUCACGCUCCGCUGCAUGGCGGGGUGUGCAAAGUUUUUCGGCCAGGGAUGGGCUCGCGGCCUAUCAGCUAGUUGGUGGGGUAACGGCCCACCAAGGCGGCGACGGGUAGCCGGCCUGAGAGGGCGACCGGCCACACUGGGACUGAGACACGGCCCAGACUCCUACGGGAGGCAGCAGUGAUCUUGCUGAAAAC
rnacentral:sRNA from 1 species